rnacentral:rRNA from 1 species
UACAGAGGUGGCAAGCGUUGUUCGGAAUUACUGGGCGUAAAGGGCGCGUAGGCGGUUCGAUAAGUCCCGUGUGAAAUCCCUCGGCUCAACUGAGGAACUGCACGGGAAACUGCCGGGCUUGAGUUCGGGAGAGGGAAGCGGAAUUCCGGGUGUAGCGGUGAAAUGCGUAGAUAUCCGGAGGAACACCGGUGGCGAAGGCGGCUUCCUGGACCGACACUGACGCUGAGGCGCGAAAGCUAGGGGAGCAAACGGG